UACGGGGGGAGCAAGCGUUGUUCGGAUUUACUGGGCGUAAAGGGCGCGUAGGCGGUAGCACAAGUCAGUUGUGAAAUCUCCGGGCUUAACUCGGAAAGGUCAACUGAUACUGUGCGACUAGAGUGCAGAAGGGGCAACUGGAAUUCUCGGUGUAGCGGUGAAAUGCGUAGAUAUCGAGAGGAACACCUGCGGCGAAGGCGGGUAGCUGGGCCGACACUGACGCUGAUGCGCGAAAGCCAGGGGAGCGAACGGG
rnacentral:rRNA from 1 species